CGGACACCUCUGAAACAAAGACAGAUUAACAAGAGAAAAGCCCAGCAAAUAUAUUCGACCACAGCUUCACAGUACACAGGAGCCUUCGGAAUGAAGACCCAAAGCCUCUCAGGUCUCAGGAGCCAAGCCAAGGACUCACCUCAGGACUGUACUUACACAAACAACUGUUUUGCCUUCAAACUAGAACACUCGCAGUUGCCAAAUUUUGGAGGGAUCAGGUAGGGACAAAGGCCCCACAAAGGGGGUGCCCUGUUUACUCAGCCCACAGCUCUCAGCUGCUCACAGGAGGG